AGUCUUUGCCGAUUGGCUUUUUCUUUUUAGUAUAUACACAAAUGAAUUCUUUGGGUUUCUACUAUUCACUAUCUUAAGCAAAACUGCUCAAAUUGAUGUUGGUUGCAGGUGAUUUUGGUCUUGCUAAGAUGUUGACUUCUGAUGACUUUGCUUCUUCAGUUGUGGGAACUCCCAGUUACAUGUGCCCUGAGCUUCUUGCUGAUAUACCUUAUGGUUCCAAGUCAGAUAUUUGGUCUUUGGGAUGCUGCAUAUUUGAAAUGGCUGCUCACAAACCAGCAUUUAAAGCUUUUGUGAGUCACUGAUUUGUUGUUUAGAAAAUAUUAAUAGUUUUCCU